rnacentral:rRNA from 1 species
AGAGCGAACGCUGGCGGCAGGCUUAACACAUGCAAGUCGAGCGGGCGUAGCAAUACGUCAGCGGCAGACGGGUGAGUAACACGUGGGAACGUACCUUUUGGUUCGGAACAACACAGGGAAACUUGUGCUAAUACCGAAUAAGCCCUUACGGGGAAAGAUUUAUCGCCGAAAGAUCGGCCCGCGUCUGAUUAGCUAGUUGGUGAGGUAAUGGCUCACCAAGGCGACGAUCAGUAGCUGGUCUGAGAGGAUGAUCAGCCACAUUGGGACUGAGACACGGCCCAAACUCCUACGGGAGGCAGCAGUGGGAAUAUUGGACAAUGGGGGCAACCCUGAUCCAGCCAUGCCGCGUGAGUGAUGAAGGCCCUAGGGUUGUAAAGCUCUUUUGUGCGGGAAGAUAAUGACGGUACCGCAAGAAUAACGCCCCGGCUAACUUCGUGCCAGCAGCCGC